rnacentral:lncRNA from 1 species
CGGCAUGCGGACCCGCUCCAAUCAGAAGCGCCGGCCUGGGAGUGCGCGCGGAGUACCAGAAUGGACUAGGCGGUGGGGAGGGGGCGGGGAAGGGAGGGAGAGCAGGUCCUCCAAUGGCCGCGCCGCCUCGCGCUUGACGUGAAGCUCUCCCGGUCUCCGAGGCCGCCAGUCUCUGGGUCUGGGUGGGUAAAUUCGAAAGGAGGAGUGGGGAAGGGAAAGUGGGAGGGACUUCCGCCGGAGUCCCGGAAGUGGGGGGCUGUGGGUUCUCAUGCGAACGGGAAGGAGCGUUGGGGAUUUGGAGUCUCGAGGUUGAGAUAUUUUCGGGCCUGAAAGGGGAAGAGUCCGCUGUCGCCGCCGCCGCCGCUGCAGCCGCCCAGCCCGCGCCGCUCCCCACCCUACCCUCCCCCUCCUUCCCGGCGCCCGCCCGCUCCUCCUCUUCCUUCCCCCUUCCCUUCCCCUCUCCUCCCCCCCAACCGGGUCCCCGCGUGUGGUGCGGUCUCUGGGAGCAGCCGGGGCUGCGGCGGAGGCGCCCGUGGCCGGGGUCGGGCGGCGGCGGCGGCAUUCGCAGGAGCAGCAGCGGCGGCGGCAGCAGCAGCAGCAGCAGGAGCCCGAGCCGGAGCCGGAGCUGGAGCGGCGGCGGCUGUGACAGGCUCGAAAUGGUGUCGCGCAUCCAGGGACCGACGAUCGGGAAUUUCUGCCCGACUGGUUCUGUUGGCGGAAGUGCAGCCCAAUAACUUUAUUCGUUAUCCUGGCAGCUGGGCAGUAGUGCCGCAUCGCCGCGUUAGUGGAGUUGUUGAAUGGAAAGGAGAUGAUCACGCUAGCCGCGUCAGGUUGAAAUGUGUGUGGGAAGAUGUUUUCUUCCCAAGAAAUGUGUUACUUUGUAACUCCUAAGGGCUUUAGGGUUGCAAAGUAAUCCUGAAGUAUAAUAUGGAAAUUUCAAUACGGCACAGUAAAAAGUUUGUGACAAGCACGACUGUCAGUACGUGUUUUUUGUAAUUAAGAAGUGGGGUAAACUUCAGAAGUUAAAAUAAAGUGGCCUUAUUUUUCCUUUGUGCA